GGGUUCAUCUUCAUGAGGUGUAAUGGCGCCGGGAUGCGCUCUCCUCUUCUCAUUUGCCAAUUUAUUGCAGAUCCCUCCUCAAAAAAGUUUUGGGACUAACUCAGCCCCAUGGAGAUCAAGGUGAAUUAGAAAAACAACAAAACAAAACAAGAUUCAUUUUAACAUCUCAUUUUUCUAUCUCCAACUUUCCCUCCCCUCCUCCCACCCCAGGAAGAAAAGACUACGUUUGUUUCUGGUGAUACAUUCAUUGUAGGUGGGUGGGUGACUUCUAGAAGAGGAAAAUCAAGAAGAUUUGGAGAAGGAGUCUUGGAAGCUCUGGUGAAGUUUUCCAAAACUGGGAAGGACAGAGUCUGCUCAGCCUGUGUUAGUGGAGAAGAGGGAAGGAAACUGGCUGGAGGCCGCUGGACCCACAGAGGACAAUAGACAAUCUCCUGCUAGAUGGGGGUCUCAUUAUGUUGCCCAGGCUGGUCUGGAACUCCUGGCCUCAAGAGGUCUUCCUGCCUCAGGCCCCCAAAGUACUUACAGGAUGCCCACUGGAUCCAAAGAGAGAAACUCUAUAGAAUUAUGAUCUAGGUUUGACUGACUCCUGGCAAGAAGCCCUACCCGCCAGCCAAUUUGGAUGAGCUCUUAUGCUCCAGAUCCAUCAUGAGAAGAACAUGCCCUGGAUUCCUGCUAUCCCUUUAGCCAUGGCUCCAAAAUUAACACACACAAGGAAGACCUGAGGUCAAUCCACAGCCUGGAUUCAAGUCACCUAAUACAUAGGAGAAUCAGAGCUACCCAGCCACACUCAAUCUACGUUAACUGAACCUCAGCUGACCUGCAGAUUUAUGAGUAUGAGAAUAAAGGCUUGUUAAUGUA
ensembl:lncRNA LINC01980 long intergenic non-protein coding RNA 1980